rnacentral:tRNA from 1 species
GUGGGGGUGGCUCAGUGUUAAAGAGCACUGACUGCUCUUCCAGAGGACCAGGGUUCAAUUCCCAGCACCCACA